rnacentral:rRNA from 1 species
UACGUAGGUGGCAAGCGGUGUCCGGAAUUAUUGGGCGUAAAGCGCGCGCAGGUGGUUUCUUAAGUCUGAUGUGAAAGCCCACGGCUCAACCGUGGAGGGUCAUUGGAAACUGGGGAACUUGAGUGCAGAAGAGGAAAGUGGAAUUCCAAGUGUAGCGGUGAAAUGCGUAGAGAUUUGGAGGAACACCAGUGGCGAAGGCGCCUUUCUGGUCUGUAACUGACACUGAGGCGCGAAAGCGUGGGGAGCGAACAGG